rnacentral:rRNA from 1 species
GGCACACGGGGGCUUACGGAGAGCGCAGCAGUGGAAUAUUUUGCACAAGGGGGGAAACCCUGAUCCAGCAAUGCCGCGUGUGAAGAGAAGGCCUUCGGGUUGUAAAGCACUUCAGUCAGGGAAGAAAUCCUUUGGUUUAAUACCCUAGGGGGAUGACGGUACCUGAAGAAUAAGCACGGGCUAAUUACGUGCCAGCAGCCGCGGUAAUACGUAGGGUGCAAGCGUUAUUGGGAAUUAUUGGGGGUAAAGCGUGGGCAGGGGUUUGUUUAAGACAAGUGUGAAAUCCCCGGGUUUACCUUGGGAAUUCCAUUUGAGAUUGCAGGAUUAGAUUGUGUCAGAGGGGGGUGAAAUUCCAGGGGUAGCAGUGAAAGGGGUGGAUUUGGGGAGGAACUCCAAUGGGGAAGGCAGCCCCUGGGGAUAACAUUGACGUUCAUGCAGGAAAGGUUGGGGAGCAACCAGGAUUAAUUACCUUGGUAGUCCACCCCU